UUAAUUCCUUCUAAUCAUUUGGAAAUGUACGUAACGAUAUAUAAAGUUGGGCUACUAUACUUUUAUAAGUAUAAAUUUUUUUGUACUUAUAAAUUUUCGACCGUUAAAUCUAUCUCUUGAAUUAUUUCCACCCGUUAGGUCAUACUAUCCAACCAACCACCCACUCAACCCCAGGGGAUCACUAUCAUCGUAACUGCACAUUUCUUCAUCCAAUGACCGAAACUUAUGAGUAAAAAAGGAUUUAUCUGCACAUAUCUUCAUCCGAUGGCCGAAACUUAAAAAUAAAAAGGGAUUUAUACUCAUAAGAAUAUAUAUAUUCUAUCGGUAGCACGGAGGCCUCCGUGCUACCAAGUUGUUUUCAAUGAUGCGGCUCCAAAUCGACGAUCGGCUCCGUCAGACUUUAUCUACAAUAUUGAUGAUAUUUGGAAACUAAAUUUCAUAUUUUUUUCGGUAUCAUUUACCUAUCAAACGAGUAGUCUAAAAUGAACGGCUGAAAAUAAAAAUCUCAUAAAAAAUAAUGAUAAAAGACUUGAAUUUAAAAUCAAAGAUACUGAUCUUACUUUAAAUAGUGAAAAAAAAUUUUUAUAAAAAUUUUAUCAGAUUUGAAUUAUUUUACACCGUUAAAUUCGAAAACACAUCACAUCUACCAUUAAAAUUGUCAAUUUUGAGGCCUUUUGAUCACUAGCCAAAUGAUAUCGAAAAAUUAUAAAUUUUAGUUUCCAAAUACUUUUAAUAGUGUAGAUCAAGUCUAACGGAGCCGAUCGUCAAUUUAGAAACCGCAUCAUCGAAAAUAAUUUGGUAGCACGAAAGUCUCCUUACUACCGAUAGUAUACCAGCCUAGCAUACUAGAUGCACUCCAUAUAUAUAUAUGGAGUGCAUCUGAUAUGUAUAUAUAUAUAUAUGGAGUGCAUCUGGUAUGCUUCUGGAAGCACAGAGCGCUCUGUACUUCCAAGUUGGUUUGGAUGUUGGGACUUUUGAAUCGACGAUCAGCUCCGUUAGACUUGAUCAAAAGUAUUUUAAGUAUCUAUAAAAUAAAUUUUGCAAUUUUUUAAUAUCAUUUGCCUAGUGAUUAAAGUGGCUCAAAAUCCUCGGCUGAAAAUAAAAAUCUUACAAAAUAUGAUGAUAUGACAUUAAAAUUUUAGAUCAAAGAUGUUGAUAUUGUUUUAUAUAGUAUAAAGAAUUUUCUAUCAAAAUUUCACGUGAUUUGAAUAUUUCUACACUGUUAAACUUGCAAACGACUCACCACGGCUAUUAAAAUUAUUGAUUUUGAGCCCCUUCGAGCACUAGGCAAAUGAUAUCGAAAAAUCACAAAAUUUAUUUUCUAGAUACUUCAAAUACUCUAAAUCAAGUCUAACGGAGCCGAUCGUCGAUUCAAAGGUCUCAACAUCGAAAACGACUUGGAUAGAAGCAUACUAGCUCACUCUAUAUGUGUGUGUGUGUGUGUGUGUGUGUGUGUGUGUGUGUGUGUGUGUGUGUGUAUAGAGAGAGAGAGAGAGAGAGCGAGAGAGAGAGAGAGAGAGCGAGAGAGAGAGAGUCGGGCUAGAAUACUAUUGAUAGUAAAAGGCUCUUUUUGCUAUCAAGUUUUUAACACUUGGAUGAAAAAUUAUAGGGUUAGGAUAAUAUUAGUUAGUUAGAAUUGAAUGGUUCCCUCAGGGCUAAGUGGUCCCCACUGGGUUAUAAUAUUUAAUCUAAUGGUUAAAAAUGAUGAAAGGAGUUAAUCCAAAAGCUAAACACUUGAUAGCAAAAUCGGCCUUGUAGCCAACUAUAUAUAU
rnacentral:lncRNA from 1 species